UACGUAGGAUGCAAGCGUUGUCCGGAAUUACUGGGCGUAAAGGGCGAGCAGGUGGCUCUACAAGUCUGAUGUGAAAUCUCCCGGCUUAACUGGGAGCGGCCAUUGGAAACUGUAGAGCUGGAGUGCAGGAGAGGCUAACGGAAUUCCCGGUGUAGUGGUGAAAUGCGUAGAUAUCGGGAGGAAGACCAGUGGCGAAGGCGGAUCUCUGGACAGCUACUGACGCUGAGGCGCGAAGGCUAGGGGAGCAAACGGG
rnacentral:rRNA from 1 species